rnacentral:rRNA from 1 species
UACGUAGGGCGCAAGCGUUGUCCGGAAUUAUUGGGCGUAAAGAGCUCGUAGGCGGUCUGUCGCGUCUGCUGUGAAAACUCAGGGCUUAACCCUGAGCUUGCAGUGGGUACGGGCAGACUAGAGUGCGGUAGGGGAGACUGGAAUUCCUGGUGUAGCGGUGAAAUGCGCAGAUAUCAGGAGGAACACCGGUGGGCGAAGGCGGGGUCUCUGGGCCGUAAACUGACGCUGGAGGGAGCGAAAGCAUGGGGAGCGAACAGG